CUUUUUGUGAAAUUUUGAUUCUUUACAUUUUUAUCUAAAGUGAAACUGUCGUCCAGAAUUAUGACAAGAUUAUUUUUCUUCACGAUUUUGAUUAUUUUCGUUAUUUCCGGAUUAACUGAAGCGAAUCCGAUGCGAAGGCAUCAUCAUAAAGGUAAUGCUAAAACACACACCCAACACAGCAACGAAAAGAGACUUGUAGAAAUUCUUUUGGAAGACUUGGUUGAA